rnacentral:rRNA from 1 species
GACGAACGCUGGCGGCGUGCUUAACACAUGCAAGUCGAACGGGAUUUAGUAAACAGAAACCUCGGUGGAAGAUUACUAAUGAGAGUGGCGAACGGGUGAGUAACGCGUGAGCAACCUGCCUAUUACAGUGGGAUAGCCUCGGGAAACCGGGAUUAAUAACGCAUAAAAUCGUAGAAACACAUGUUUUAACGGUCAAAGAUUUAUCGGUCAUAGAUGGGCUCGCGUCUGAUUAGCUAGUUGGUGAGAUAACAGCCCACCAAGGCGACGAUCAGUAGCCGGUCUGAGAGGAUGAACGGCCACAGUGGAACUGAGACACGGUCCAAACUCCUACGGGAGGCAGCAGUGGGGAAUAUUGCACAAUGGGGGAAACCCUGAUGCAGCGACGCCGCGUGAACGAAGAAGGUAUUCGUAUCGUAAAGUUCUGUCCUAUGGGAAGAUAAUGACAGUACCAUAGAAGAAAGCGCCGGCUAAAUACGUG